UGCCUAACACAUGCAAGUCGAACGAGAAAGUGGAGCUUGCUUCACAAGUAAAGUGGCAAACGGGUGAGUAACACGUGAACAACCUACCCUCGAGCGGGGAAUAACACCGCGAAAGCGGUGCUAAUACCGCAUAAUAUCUCGAAAUCGCAUGUUUUCGAGAUCAAAAGCGCAAGUUGCUUGAGGAGGGGUUCGCGCCUGAUUAGCUUGUUGGUGAGGUAAUGGCUCACCAAGGCUGCGAUCAGUAGCCGGCCUGAGAGGGUGAACGGCCACACUGGAACUGAGACACGGUCCAGACUCCUACGGGAGGCAGCAGUGGGGAAUUUUGCGCAAUGGGCGAAAGCCUGACGCAGCAACGCCGCGUGGAGGAUGAAGGCCCUCGGGUCGUAAACUCCUGUCAGUGGGGAAGAAUGCUUCGGUUUGACUGUACCCGCUGAGGAAGCCACGGCUAACUCCGUGCCAGACAGCCGCGGUAAUACGGAGGU
rnacentral:rRNA from 1 species